rnacentral:rRNA from 1 species
UGGGGGAUAUUGCACAAUGGGGGGAACCCUGAUGCAGCGACGCCGCGUGAGCGAAGGAGUGCUCCGGCAUGUAAAGCUCUGUCAGCAGGGAAGAAGAAGGACGGUACCUGACCAAGAAGCCCCGGCUAACUACGUGCCAGCAGCCGCGGUAAUACGUAGGGGGCGAGCGUUAUCCGGAUUCACUGGGUGUAAAGGGAGCGCAGGCGGUGCGCCAAGUCCGGUGUGAAAGCCCGGGGCCCAACCCCGGGACUGCACUGGAGACUGGCGUGCUGGAGUGCCGGAGGGGUGGGCGGAAUUCCUAGUGUAGCGGUGAAAUGCGUAGAUAUUAGGAGGAACACCGGUGGCGAAGGCGGCCCACUGGACGGUGACUGACGCUGAGGCUCGAAAGCGUGGGGAGCAAACAGG